AAAAUGUGCAAAUGCAAGGUGUCAGGGUUUCUGCUUCCGGGAACAGCCCUAACACCGAUGGCAUUCAUGUCCAAAUGUCAUCUGGUGUCACAAUCCUCAACUCCAAGAUUGCAACCGGUGACGAUUGUGUCUCAAUUGGCCCCGGAACCUCAAAUUUGUGGAUAGAAGGCGUUGCUUGUGGACCUGGCCAUGGAAUUAGGUACGACAUCAAAAUUAUAUAUUUAUCCAUGAUUGAUCAAACUAGCUAAAUGCAUACUAUUUCAUAAUAUAUGUUAUAAUGUAUAUCUUUUUUCUUCGUUGCUUAAUGACAUUUGAACUUAGGACAUCUUUCAAUAAAGUGGAGAUUAAUUGGUUGCUAGUAGAGAUUCAUUGCCUACAAAAAGUAUAUCUUUCUUUUGGGUGGAUGUUCUAGUUGUAAAUUUAACAUUGCUUUAUUUGAUGGUUCAGCAUUGGAAGUCUAGGCAAGGAGCAAGAAGAGGCCGGUGUACAAAAUGUAACAGUUAAAACGGUUACCUUUACUGGUACUCAGAAUGGUCUAAGAAUCAAGUCAUGGGGGAGGCCAAGCACUGGGUUUGCUAGAAAUAUUCUUUUCCAACAUGCUACAAUGGUCAAUGUCGAAAAUCCUAUUGUCAUAGAUCAACAUUAUUGCCCCGACAACAAAGGGUGCCCUGGUCAGGUAAGAUAUCAUUCUUGCUCUAACGGUCAAUUCCCAGAGUUUAAUAUUACAACUAAAUUUUCUCUUCUUCACUUUCAUAGUGUAACGUUUUUGAUAAAAACGUUGGCAUCGCCAAAUUAUAACUGUCUAAUUUCGAAACAUAUCAAAAGCUUUCUUGGGCUUCCACCUAGAAGAGCCAAUAAUUUUAGACCCAAAGCAAAUCCAAUAACUCCUUCUUCCAUGGGCUUGCUCUCCUACUACUUACAAAGGUCGAGCCUUGCCCAUUGUAACCUUUGUAACUUAUUAAUUUCAUUGUAUGUGCAAUGAGAUUGAGGGUUGUAGCUUAAGUGGUUAACAAUAUUUACUCAUGUAUUCGAAGUUCUAGAUUUAAUUCCCCUCUUUUCCAAUACCAUUUUUAUCAAAAUGACUUCAUCGUAGCUUAGCCAAAAAAGCAUUAAACUUCCCAUUAAGCCGAAUUACCAUGCUAUAAUGCUUGUUCACCUUCUGUUUUAUCAAAAGCUGGAAAUCUGACUUCCUAUUGUUUUUUUUCUUUUGUCAAUUUUGUUUUUCGAUAGGUUUCCGGAGUUCAAAUUAGCGAUGUGACAUACGAAGACAUACACGGUACAUCAGCAACAGAAGUUGCAGUAAAAUUUGAUUGCAGUCCCAAGCACCCUUGCAGCGAGAUCAAAUUGGAGGAUGUGAAGCUUACUUACAAGAACCAAGCAGCUGAGUCUUCAUGUAGCCAUGCAGAUGGAACAACUGAGGGUGUGGUUCAGCCUACAAGUUGUUUGUAGAGUGGAAAAAUAUGAACUGCUUGUAGAAGUAUUGAAAUCCAAAAGUUUGCCCUCCAGUACUAAGGACAAAUGAAAAGUGAAUUAUACGAUUUAUAUAGGAAGAAUGAGCUUGUGUUGUUGGCAGCCUACUUGGGCUUCCCUUGAGCCUGGCCGUUCAAUUAGUUUAGUUUGUUCAAACUCGUCCACUUCGAUGGGUGUUUAUGUUAUGAAUUGUUGUAAGAUUAUGUUCGGGAUACGUUAAAUUUAUAAGAUUAAAUUUUAUGUUGAUGGCUAAUGUGGCAUUUGACAUAGGAUUCAAUAUUCUAUCAAUUUAAUUCACAAUUUUAUUAUAAUCGAAGCACACAUUAAAUAGUAAAAAUUUGGUUCAAGAAACAAAAGGAUUUGAAGUCUCGCAUGAACUUUUUGGUUGGAGCAUUUUCUCAUGUCAAAUUUUACCCGUUAAAAAUUUAUUAUGAUAUUUUAACAUUUCGGUUGGAGUAUUUUUUUCAUGUCAAAUUUGACCCGUUAAAAAUUUACUAUGGUAUUUUAGCAUUUCGGUUGGAGAUGUAUAAAUCUUAAAAAUGCAUUCAAGAUGCAUUUUUGUUUCUUAAGCUUUGAGCUUUAGGUAAUUAACUUUAAAUGUUGUUGGGCACCUUGCACUAGUUGAUUAAAGAAAAAUAGACCCGAAGCAAGAUUCCUUGUAGUUGCCAAUUCGAAGUUUUCUUUAUCGCUACAUACUUACUGGUCUACAAGUUCUCUCUCUAAUACAUAAUUUGACAUAAAUAAAUACAGUGAAGAGUGCAUUGACUAAACAGAAAAAAAAACAAAAAAAGCAGCACGUAAGCAAUUACGUGCAUUUGGUGUAAAAGCUAAAGGCCUCUGAUUUAUGUAAGCAGUUACGGUAAUCAUAUUAUAUUAUAUGUAUCUUAGUUCUGCAAUUGUAACAGGAAUAAUAUUGUUUUGUUAUCCCCAAUCAAUAAUACAAUGAUACGUGAAAAAGUUAUUUAACAUGUCAUUGCGUUAUUAGCUGGGGAUAGCAAACAGUGCUAUCCCCAUUACAUGAAAGUCUUUCUCCUGCAUAUCCUAUUAUACUAUUAUAAAACUCAAUUGGUCAAUCAUAGUGAAAAAAAUAUAGUGAAAGAAAAAAGAAGAAGAAGAAAAUAUCAAUUAAGCCCCUCUUAUAUUGAACACUUCAAUAAUAAAAUAAAAAUUGCAUAUGGAGUAAAGUCAGUCAGUUAAGAUAGUAUGCUAGUUCUUUUGCACCUGAGUUCAAUUUCCUUCCCCGAACAUUUUCAAAUAAAUAAUAAUAAAAUAAAAUGUGAAUUUGAUAGUCAAUGUCGUAGUAAAAUAUGGUUUUUUAGUAUCAAUAUUAAGGAAAGCCAUUGUUCUUUCUAGCAGAAUGCCCGCCACUGCUAGAGAGAGAGAGAGAGAGAGAGCGGAAUGGCAGAAGUGAGUAACAAGCAGGUGAUACCGAGGGAGUAUGUCACUGGCUUUCCCAAAGAGUCAGACUUGUACGUGAAUAGCACUGCUACUAUCAAGUUGAAGCUUUCUGAGGCCCCCGAGCAUGAGGGUUCUUCAAAGAAACUAGUUCUAGUGAAGAAUCUUUACUUGUCCUGCGAUCCCUACCAACGACUAUUUAUGGAAAGAAUCGAAGGCCUCAGCAGCCAAUCCACUUCCUCCUAUACGCCUGGUUCUGUAAGCAAAACCCAUCAUAUAUCUUUUCCUUUCAAUUUCUGUAAACAUAUAUACCAAAUGUUAUGCUCAAAUAUAUAUUAAUUGUUAAACAUUGUUCCCUUAAAAAAAACAAUUUAUUGCAAAAUUGGAAUAUACAAGAGGUAACUCUGCACAAAUAUUAAUGACAAGAUGAGGUGGCUAAAAGCACUGUUAAUGUCUAUCAGCGCGCAAUGAGCACGAAUAACUGUGAUUAUUAAGUAGUAGGAGCUGAUAGUUGUUUUUGUUACCACAUCCUAUGCCACAAAUAUUAAUUAUUACCAAUUAUUCUUCUAGUAAUGCUUGUUUUUUUGUUGAUGGCAACAUUGGGAGGAGGGAAUCAAAUACAAGUUUGAUCAUAUGAUUAAUUUAAUUUUGUUGGUGUAAACGUGCAGCCAAUAUACGGGUAUGGAGUGGCUAAAGUUUUGGACUCUGGGCACCCAGAUUUGAAGGCAGGUGACUUAGUUUGGGGGACUACCUAUUGGGAAGAGUACAGCCGAAUCCCUGAACCCGAAGGCCUGAUCAAAAUCCAGCACACUGAUGUACCUCUAUCCUAUUAUACUGGAAUUCUUGGUAACAAGUCAAACCUAUUUUAGAUCAUGAUGAUAUGUGUUGGUUUAGAUACGUAAGUGUAUUUUUUGUAAUUUCAUUUCAGGUAUGCCUGGUUUGACCGCUUAUGUUGGUUUCUAUGAAAUUUGUUCUCCUAAGAAAGGAGAACAUGUCUUCAUUUCAGCAGCAGCUGGUGCUGUUGGUCAGCUUGUUGGACAAUUUGCAAAAUUAAUGGGUUGUUAUGUUGUUGGAAGUGCUGGCAGUAAGGAAAAGGUACGAACUUGAGAAAUCUUUGAACUUCAAAUUAAUAUUAUCUACACCAUUUUUUCUUGUUUGGGUUGUAUUUUGCUGUUGUUAUUUGGGCCAACUUUGGUGUUGGUUUGGUUUGGGGCCUCUGUUUGUGCGCUGGGACUACAAUGAGUGGAAAGUUAUAAGGGGUAAGUUAUAAGGGGUUCACUUUAUAGCCAUCAGAUCAAUCCAAGGGCUGGGGAGAAUUGAGAUAAAGUUUCACAAUUGGGUAGGUGAGGAACCCAAACCCGAAUUGAAUAUCCAGCACGUCCAAAAAGAAGAAGAAGAGGGAAACACGUUCGAAAAAGAAGAAGAAGAGGCAAGUUCGAAGUUUGAACAGAAAGAACUCAUCUCUCUAAAACCCAGAGGUCUGAGAUACCCAAUGAAGGCAACGGCUAACGACAGUUGAAGGCAACGAUUCGCCACUCCGUUCUCCAGACCCUGAAAAAGUAUUUAUUUGGAGUAGAAGGGGCAAAGGUGUGGAUUCCAAAUCAAUGAAGGGGCGAAGCAGUGGAAGGGGAAGGGGAGAAGCUAUAAUCGUUGGAAGUGGUAGGUUCCAUUUGUGGAGCAAAGAAACAGAAAGACCCCACACAGACACCUUGCAAUAACCAGCAUUUGGUGAGUAAUUUAUGGAAUUUGAGUUUAGGGUUAGAGUAAUGGUUUUCCUCAAUUUGUAGCAUAAAUUUUGUUGGAUUUGGCAUCUCUUCGUUGUGCUUGAGUUGCAUGUUAAUUUUUGCUUAGGUAUAUGUUAAAAAAAGAAUGAAAAUCAAGUCAAUAACAAGUGAAUAACAUGUCAAUAAUGAUAUGAAUAAGAUAAUGGUGUUGAAUUGGAGGAGGCCCUCAAAACCUUCCACAUUUGAAGCAGUGCAUAGUGCAGAUUAAGAAGAGGCGGUAGAAUAUAUAUAUAUAUAUAUAUAUAUAUAUUUUAUGAAGUAAAUAUGAUUUCCUUUGUUACUAAAUUUGCCUGAGAAACAUUUGAACAGAUAAUAAUAAACUCAUGAAUAGAAGUGCAAAGCAUUUGAUGAGUAAUUUAAGGAAUUUGAGUUUAGGGUUAGAGUAAUGGUUUUCCCCAAUUUGUACCAUCAAUGUUGUUGGAUUUGGCAUCUCUUAUUUGUGCUUCAAUUGCAUGUUAAUUUUUGCUUGGGUAUAUGUUAAAAAACGAAUGAAAAUAGAGUCAAUCACAUGUCAAUAACAUCUCAAUAACAUGUCAAUAACAUGUUAGUAAUGAUAUGAAUAAGAUAAUGGUGUUAAAUUGGAGGAGGCGCUCAAAACCUUCCACAUUUGAAGCAGUGCAGAGUGAAGAGUACCUCUCUGGCCCUAGAAUUUAUAUAUUUUGUGAAAUAAAUAUGAUUUCAUUUGUUACUAAAUUUGCCUAUGAGAAAUGAGAACAGAUAAUAAUAAACUCAUGAAUAAAAGUGCAAAGCAUUUGAAAUGAAGGUUGAUCUAUGACGAUUGUGGGUGACUGAAGAAAAAGCUAGAAAGAAAGAAGGAUGUGGCAAUUGCUUAGCAAGCAGAUAGCAGAGUAGAUGCUUUGCUUUGCUUCCUUCCACUAUAUUUCUUAUUUAUUUAUUUUGUGUUGUGUAUGAGAUGACAAUAAUUGUCAUGUGUGUGAAGUGCAGAACUUGCCUACAUUGCACUCACACGAGUAUGGAUCCAUAAAUAAAACACGUGAAAUUGUUUGUAAUUCACAUAAUCAUUGCAUUAACAGGUAUUUGCACAAAAUUUGUCAUAUUGCUUUGAUGAUGUUAAAGCCUAUGAUCAGUAAUCCGUAUGCUCAUGUACUUUGUAAAAUUUGUAAUGUGCCUGGUUGACUAGUUGUGAUUGUGCAAAUACGUGGCAGUAUAUGUGUUCACGUUAUUUCACAUUGUAUUUGAGGAAAUGGGAUCCAACGUGGAGCUGGUAUGGCCAGAGGCAGAGGCAUAUUCGUCACGGGUGAACAACUGCUCACAUGCAAAUUCAUCUCUAGCUGCAAUUCGAGCGAAGUUGAGUGCGGAACAAUUAGAACAAUUCAAGACAUCAUGCUUUGGCCAUCUUCUGAAUAUAGAUAAGAUUCAGUUUAGCGGGCAGAUUGUGCAUGGGGCUGUGUUGCGUAGAGUAGCGGGGCAGGGUGUGAAAGACUUGGAUGGACUGAGUUUCUUAUUAGGGUGUGACGUUGCUCAGUUCACUCGUCAGGAUUUCUGUUUGAUCACAGGGCUUCGUUUUGGGGAAGUGCCUGAAGUUUCCAGUGGAGAGAGUGAUGUAAUCAGACUUCAGAAAAGAUAUUUUAUAGACGAAGGAAUUACAUGCAAUGCUUUAGAAGAAGCAUUUAUGGGGUGCACAGAGGAAGAUGACAUCUACAAGCUAGCUCUUGUUUACUUUGCUGAGUUAGUGGUUUUGGGAAGGGACAAACAUUUGAACAUCAAUCUAAAUUACCUGACCCUUGUAGAGGACUUGGAUGCGUUCAACAGGUAUCCGUGGGGUUCGGUGUCCUUUGACAAAACCCAAGACAGUCUAUUUUCUGCACCAACAAAGUAUGUGAAAAGCUUGCAAAAUGAAGAGGGAAGAGGGAAGGGGAAAAGUAAGGUAACGGGAACAAGCCGGAGAAAUGAGAAGGGCAGGAAGGAUAAGCAUGGUGAAGCGCAAAGGAGUGGCUGGAGUUUUAAAGGUUUCACGUAUGCUUUCCAGGUACAUGGUAAUAAUGUUCAUGUGAGUUAUGUUUUGUUUUUCUUUAAAACAUAAAUAAUGACUUUUGUCCUGUGAAUUGUGUAGAUUUGGGUAUAUGAAUUAAUUCCUAGAAUGGCGGACCUGAAUUACUGCAAGGUUGUUGAUCCGACCGCUGUCCCGCGUAUUUUGCGAUGGAGAACUACUACGUCUGUUCCAGAGAUGAGAAAGUUGAACAAUUAUUUUUUCCAGAGCAAAGAGGUUUGGUUUGCAGCCCUUGGAACUAUUGAUAAGAUUGAAUGAAAUUUUGAAGUAGAAUGAUUUAAUAUGACUGUGGUUUGUAUUCUGAAACAGUCAGUUCAGUUGCGGGCGCUAUGUCCGAGUGAAGAGGAAAUGAGACAGCCAUAUUGGAGUUGGCCACAGGAUCGCCCUGAUGAGACAGCCAUAUUGGAGUUGGCCACAGGAUCGCCCUGCUGUUGUCUCGGCAGAGUCAAUUCCUUCUUUAUGUGGUGAUCUUGAUCAGUUGAACAAGGUGGUAAGCUUGUUGAGGUCCGAGUUGUUUCAAGUAAAGCGGGAAAAAGACGUCCUUCACUUAAAGGUCAUACGGAUGGAAAAACUGUUGGACCAAUGUUUAGGUCCUCAGUUUGAGCAGGAAGUAAGGAGGGACCUAGCUUUACUGAAACAGAGGACGAAGCGUUGUGUCGUCUCACAUCUAUUUAGGGGAUAUCGGGAAUUGGAUGACAUUCAAUGGGAUGAAGGGCCAAGUAACAGAAAUGAGGGAGAGGAAAAGGAAGAUGAAGGGAUUGAAGGGGGUGAAGGGCCAAGUAAUAGAAAUGAGGGAGAGGAAAAGGAAGAGGAGGGGAUUGAAGGAGAGGAAAAGGAAGAGGAGGGGAUUGAAGGGGGUGAAGUGCAAGGAAUACCAAGUGAGGUAGAGGAAGGGCAAAGGAAAAGAAGUGAAGGAGAGCAAGUGCAAGUAAAAAGUAGCAAAGGAGAGGAAGCCCAAAGACAGAGCAGUGAGGGAGAGGAAGUGAAAAGAAAAAGCAGUAAGGGAGAGAAACUGCAAAGGAAAAAAAGGGAGGGCAAGGAAGUGAAAACACAAAGAAGUGAGGAAAAGGAAGUGCAAAGAAACCAAUGUGAGAAAGAAGAUAAUGAAGUUAUGUUGCUUGGGGAUGACAUUGGCGAGAGCACGGAGGGGACACUGCUUGAGUUUACUGUCGGGGACAUUGAUUUGGAUCAACCUACAGCUGUGCUAUCUCAGUUGAACGUGUGGUUGAAUGAUAAAGGUAAAGCUGUGGCACAAGGGGUCCAAUUACGGAAAAGGAAGAGGAUCAUUCCUAUGUGGAAGAUCAUUGAAGGCAUUGAAUUGGUUCCAAAAACUGGGGCACAGACAACCGGACUGAAGAUGUUAGACCCAAUGAAGGCGAUUCCGCAUGAUGAUCUGGUGAAUUUGCUGAAACUUUGUUGGGAAUGGCGCCAGGACCCAAAGUAAGUCCCUUGCAAUUAUAAGAUAGAAGCACGACUGUAUAUAAUUUUUAAUAUACAGUGUUCUAAAACUGUUUUAUAUUCAUAGUUUAGUGAUGCAAUUUGGCAACGUGGAAGCUGAGAUUGAAUUCUUCGCUUCCCUCGUGAAAGCUGAUGGUUGGCUGAAAGGAGAUGUAAGUGUAAUUGAUUAUGCAUUUGUUUUAAUGUAUAUAGAUUAUGAGAUUGACAAGAACAACAUGUUGCAGCACAUUGAGUUGGGGUUGUAUCUCAUCCGGAAGCGACAACAACAGUUUGAGGAAGUAGAAAUAGCGGACUGGACAACGACAGAUGUUUUUUUUAUGGUAUGUCAUCGGCCUUGACCAAGUGCCGUUAAUAAUUACACAUUUUCCAUACAGACAAUAGUGGAGGUGUUUAACCAUUGAUUGUUUUGUAUUUCACAGAAUCACAUUCGAACUUGCUUUGCGGAUAAUAAAAGAAAAAAACAGCAGCUUGGGUGGAAAAUCAGAAAAAGUUUACUAAACGUUGUAAAUGGGAAGGUUCCUCCGUGUGGGAUGGAUUGGCAGAACGUCUAUACGGUGUAUACCCCAGUUAUGUUGACGAAGUACAAGCAUUGGGUGGCUGUAAUGAUUGAUCUGGUAUUGUGUGAAAUCAAAGUGUACGAUUCAAAGGUUUCACUAAUUCCAGAUGACAUCGUAAAGGAAGAACUCGCCCCGCUAUCAAUUAUGCUUCCAAAUCUUCUCAACACCAUCGACUUUUAUGAAGAAGGUGUUUAUGCAAACAAUUGCAUGCGAGAUUGGUGGUGUCCGUGGCCAAUAGAGCGUGUGGAUGUUCCACAACAGUCUAAUGAGUAAGCACAACUUGCAAUUUAAUUUUAUUACUUUCAAUUGUCAAUUACGUUAGAAUGUCAUUAGUUGAAUUGAUCGAGUUCUUGUUUUGCUUCAGAGGCGAUUGUGGCAUGUUUGUGUUAAAGUACAUUGAGCUUAUCAGCGCUCAGCUUUCGUUAGCUAUUUGCACCUCGCACAACAUGCCUUUUUUUCGGUUGAAAUUGGCUGCGGAGAUAACAAGGGGAGAUGCUUACUUCCCAUGAUAUUGGUUGAAGAUGACAAAUGGUACAUGAGAAGGUUUUGGGAAUGUCCAUUCUCAAACUAAUGUAAAUACACAAUAGAGACGUACGUGUCCUUUUCGAAUUCUACCGCUAACUCCUUCAUGACAUUUACAUGUUUGUUAACCAAACUGCAUUGAAUUGGAAUUUUAAGACUGCAUAUGUUAAUUGGGAUUUGAAGAUGGCUUUUUAAGUGUAUUACACCAUUGCAAAGUGAUAUGUCAUUGUUGAUGCAAGCCACCAUUAUUCGCAAUGAGUUGCAUCAUAAUAGGUGUGUAAACAUGCGAAAGGUUUUCGGCAGCUCAGUAGCAUAAAAGUAGAAACAAUUACAAUAUACACAAAAUGAACAACAAUUCACUUGCGUUUGGACAAGCAAUACAGACACAACAGACAAACAAUAUACACAAAAUUGGCCUGCCAUAUACAGACAUACACACAGUAGACAUGCAAUAUACACACAGUAGACAUGCAAUAUACACACAAUAGACAUGCAAUAUACACACAAUACACAUGCAAUAUACACACAAUACUCCCUUAACACACACAAUAGACAUGCCCUUGCCCACAAUAAUGAUGCAAUAUACUUCAGUCCCCAAGUACACCAACCAUAAGGAAGUCGUAUUGAAUAGGAUAUUAAACUUAACAGUUGUUCUUCCUACUAAAAGAAAGAAUAACGUCCGUUUCCCCCCUUCAUUCUUACUUCAGUGAUACUUGUGGCCCCAAUAAACAUCCAAUAUUGGGUCAAGGAUAUUCCAUAUACAUGCAGCAAACUAUCAAUAAACCUUCAAUAAACAUUCAAUAUCGGUUCUAUAACAUGCGAAAUACAUGCAGUUAACAAAUAUUACAAAAUGGGUUUAGGGUCUCAUUGGUGGUGCGUGCAACAUGUCUUGUGCGGAAGAACUUUCACAAUCUUUGAAACCAUGCAGUUAAAUGAUCCUUAAAAGAACAAAUAAAAUGACAAUUGAUACAACUAAUAAAACUAAUACCAAGUCCUUAAUGGACUUCAGCAUGUUCAGCACUCUAGCAUCAUACGUGUCAUCUUGAUGUUCUGCUUCAGCGGAGGUUACAUCAACCCAUUCGAAUCCAUUGCAACUGGUGGCUCCCUAAUUGCAGGCAUCAUAUAUGGAAUAUAAUUCUGUUAGAGUUAGACAUGGGUUUAUUUUGACCCACAUACAUAUUAUUGAAAUUAAAACUUACAUAGGAGGUUAGACACUUCCAGAAUGGCUUCCCUCGAUUUUUGUCAGAUUUUGAAACCCGAAGCACCAUUGUAGCUCCACAAUACUGACACCUCUUUGUUUGAGCAGGAGAUGAAGACGAAGACAUGUUGAAUCUUCUCAGUUGUACCUCUUCUCACUCAGAUCUUCUCACUGAAACCUCUUCGGACUCAUACCUUCUCACUCAUCGUUGUCAUUCAUACCCCUUCACUCAUAACCCUAAACUUGUCACUCAGCUCUCUCUCAUCUCUGCCCAAAUCGAGUUAUAUUUCUUUUUUUUGGGAUCAUUUGGUGGGUUGGUCACGAUCUCGACACCCGUACCGUCGGCAUUGCGACAUCUUUUAGCCCGAAAAGCAAUAUAAACUACUUCACUACCAAAUAUAUUUUCUGAAAAAUGAGGGGACACUGCUUCAAAUUUAUUAUUUUAUAUAUAUUUCAUUAAGGCAACUAGUUGGAUAAGAAUCCGUCAUUAUUGGUUCCAUUUGAAUAACAUUACUAGGGGUAGUUGGGUGUGGGAAAAUGAAAAAGUAUAUGAUGGGACCUUCUGUCACUACUCAGUAAUCCAUCACAUUUGUAUCAAUGAAUUUGAUAGUGGGAUAAUCCCACAAAUGGCUAUGCAAAUAGCCAUUUAAUGAACUUUUUGACUGUCUGACUCUGUAUGCACCGUUAUGACGUUUUCCCUUCUUUUGUCUUCAGUUUUAAUUCACUUGGGUUCAGUUUCUUUAAAAAUGGUCAACUUGGAAAAACCCCAACUGGAAACACCUUUUCAAAACACUAUAAACAGAGGCUAAAACAAAACGUGUACCCCAAAUAUUCUCAUUUAUCCCCUCUGCCACUCCUCAAAUCGUUCCAUUCCAAAAACUUUUCAAUGAAUUCGAAACACUUCACUACAGUCGGAGGAAAGAGAAGGAAGCAUCUCCAUUUCGAUAUGCCCGAAGCCUUCAUCCCGGAGUCCGCUUGGUUUCAAGUGAUGUUAUACGUGGCAACCGAAUCAUCGGAAGAUCUCUUCCGUAUGGCAUCUGUGUGCCCAUUGUUCCAAACUUUGGCAAACAGUCCACAAGUGUGGAACACCAUUUCAAUGGCAAAGUACCCACACCAUCCUAGCUGGUACCGUGCCAGACCUGCGGUCCAGCAUUUCUUGCAACAAUGCAGGGCUUGCGAUAACCCUGAGUCGAUAUUUAGAGAAGCAUUCGAUAUUUUUUUCAGGGCCAGUAAGGUGGAAGCGUUGUAUGGGAUGCGCAUUGCAGCCACGGCAGGCCAUAUGGAAGCGGCAUAUGUAGUUGGACUACUUGGUAUAUCCGGAAUUGGUCAGUCAAAAGAGGAUGCAUUACAAUUCUUGUGUUCUUUGAAUCAACGUAACAACAUUGAUAUGAAAGGAACCAGGGAUGCUUUGACACGAAGAUUAACCGGACCAAGAGUUGCAAGACAUAUCGUAGAUAUAUUUGACUAUGGGAAGAUUAAGUUCAAUCGCUGCAGCACUUGUAACAACAAUGAAUGGUAUUUUGUUAUUCAAGGCUGGCCUAGUGAAGACAAGAUAAAUCCUGCCUUCUAGACUUGUUGCAAUCGAUGCAAAUGGCACCGUGAGAGUAUUUUUUGGUUCAAACUGAUGCGUGAGUAUGUUGUGCGAGGGAAUCAUGUAUUUUUGCAUUAGUUUUAGUACGAAUUUACGGUUUUGAUGCAUUGUGGACUUACUUCUCUUCACUUCUAGGUUGGCUGGCUACGUUGUACAAAUGUUGUUUAAAUGUUGUUUAAAUGUUGGUAUUUUGUCAUAAACCGUUUUAUAUAUAAAUGUAUAAUAUUUAUUAUAUAGCGGAAUUAUUACUUACAUCAUAGACGGCUACGAAUGACAUUUUACUGACACAGAUAUUUUGCUCACCCACCCCAAUAUUCAUAUUUGGUAAACGAAAAGUCAUGCAUGGAGUAAAUAGGUGUCUUUUCACCAAUGCUUGGGAAUGACAUUUUCCCACUUAGCAUAUUCGACAGGAUUUGGUUACACGUUUCUUAAGCAAAAGUUGAACAGUGAAUGACGUUGAAUAAUUUGUUUGUGUGGAAGGAGUACAAUGGAUGACUUGUAUAUUUCCAUAUUAUGUUUGAAAACAUCCCUUCAACCUAAAAAAUAAAAAAAUUAACAAAUUGAAGAACAGAGAAACCGAUGAGCACUACAAAUGGCCUAUUCGCACGGAAAAUAAAAUUGUUUUAAACAAGUUGGACUAAAUAUAAUUAACAAAUGGACAGCCUAAAAAGUAAUAUCAUAAUAAUUAUAAUAAUUGUGGAUUAAUAAUAAUAAAAUACUAAUGUAGCAUAACCAUGAAACAGGGAAUUCAGUAGGAAGAUGAAAUCUCAAUAAGUUCGUUGAAAUGUUCGGAUCGUUUUUCUAAUUUUUGUGUAUUUAGUUCUGAAUUUUCCAAGAAAAAAAGUAAUUAAAUAAUAAUUUAGGGUAAAAUGGGAUGAUGUGGCCAUGUUGACUGACGUACACUUGUGCAAGUACUCAUAAGUGAGGGGCUGAGAUCGCGCCAGGUGUCUUCUUGGAAUUAGGGUUGGCUAUUUUAGUGGAAAAAUCCUUGAAAAUAGGUAAAAAAUAGUAGGAAAUUCCUAUUCUAGGUUGGGAAAAUUACCCGCGCCUCCUUGUGACGUCAUAAAACUAGGAGAACCUAUAAAUCAUCCGUCUCGCAAUGAAAUAAUCCAAAAUGUUUUACAUAACUCACUUCCCUCUUUACCCUAAGUAUUGAUGUUUGUUAACUUGAACUUCAAUAACCUACUUCAACAAGCAUCUCCCGUUAAUGUUGGGAAUAAUUGUCUAAAAUGCGUAACAAUGAAUCGGAGAAUUCAGCAAGGGAGAUGGAGUGUCAAUGAGUUCGUAGCAAUUUUCGGAAAUAAUUUUGAAUUUUUGUGUAUUUAGUUAUGAAUUUUGUAAGACAAAGUAAUAAAAUAAUAAUUUAGGGUAAAAUGGGAGGAUGUGGCCAUGUUGACUGACGUACACUUGUGCAAGUAGUCAAAAGUGCCGGGCUGAGAUCGCGCCAGGUGUCAUCUUCUUUUCAAUUUUGGAUUCUUUUGUUAAAAAAUCUUUGAAACUAAGUAAUAAAUAGUAGGAAAAUCCUAAAAAUGCCCCCAAAAUUACUCCGGCCUACUUGUGACGUCAUAAAACUAGGAGAACCUAUAAAUCAUUCGUCUCGCAAUGAAAUAAUCCAAAUUGUUUUACAUAACUCACUUUCCUCUUAACCCUAAGUAUUGAUGUUUGUUAACUUAAACUUGAAUAACCUACUUCAACAAGCAUCUCCCGUUGAUGUUCGGAAUUAUUUUUAAAAAUGCGUAACAAUGAAUCGGAGAAUUCAGCAAGGGAGAUGGAGUGUGAAUGAGUUCGUAGCAAUUUUCGGAUAAUUUUUUUAAUUUUUGUGUAAUUAGUUCUGAUUUUUGUAAGGAAAAGUAAUAAAAUAAUAAUUUAGGGUAAAAAGGGAGGAUGUGGCCAUAUUGACUGACGUACACUUGUGCAAGUAGUCAUAAGUGACGGGCUGAGAUCGCGCCAGGUGUCCUCUUGCUAUUAUUUUGGCUUUUUUAGUGCAACAAUCUGUGGACAUAGGUAAUAAAUUCUACGAAAAUCCAAAAAAUGCCCGGAAAAUGAGAAAAUGAAAAUUAUUUGUACAUAACUCACUUUCCUCUUAACCCUAAUUCACGUGUAACACGUAUAUUUCGGAUAAUAUUCGAUAUAUAAUUUGUAAUAAUACAAUAUUUAGUUUCACUAUAUACAAUAAUAUGUUUUGUUAUAAUAAUGUACAUAAAUAAUAAUUGCACAUGCUUUGAAGCCAUCAUUGCAACUACGCCUAGAGCUUUCAAGACGUCAGUUCGUAUUCAAUAAGUUGUCCACAUGCAAGUGCACCUACAGUUUUCAACACGUCAGAGGUAUUCAAUAAGUUGUCCACAUGCAACUGCACCUAGAGUUAUUAACACGUCAGAGGUAUUCAAUAAGUUGUCCAUAUGACGCCGCAUUGGGAAUCAGUAAUAUAUUUUCAAUCAUGUCCAAUCACAUAAAAUAAUGGCAUACUUUUUCUCAAUAACCUCACACAAGUGAAGCAAUUUUAAAACCCUUACUGAAUAUUUGUCCUAGUCUAUAUGAGUGAUUAUAUAAUCAGUCUGCAUUUUUUUCACAGUAUAUGUUAACUUUGAGAGGGAUUCCACAAACAUAAAAUAUAAAGAAAGCAAGAAAUAGUAGGAGAUGAACCAGUAGAAAAAACAAUAUAUAAAUGGUACAUAAUAAUUCCAUAACCUUGUCACAAACGCACUCACAAAAGCUUUUCCAUAAACCUUGUCCUAACAUAUAAUAAAUAAAGGCAACAUUGCAUAUGAUGCAACCAUGUCCAAAUCUGAUACGUGAUCAAAAACAAAUGGACAUGGCAGCAACAUAUGACUGAAGUAGAUGGGCUCUUUGCAUCUUGUGUUUUCGUAAUUAAAGACAUCAAAAUAUUAAGGUUUAAAUCUUCCAUAGUAGUUAGCAUCAAAAUAGCUUUGAAGCAGAGUGUAAAGAAAAUUCCAAUUCCACUGAUUUGCCUCUGCUCAAACACGAGAACCAAAAUGGUUACUUCCCUUGCUGAGUAUAUUUGGUGACGUCGGAAACGGUAAUAGAUGAUCAAUCAAACCCAGGUACGACGAGUUUUGCAUAGGAUCGGAAGUAGUCGAAUCCAGCUUGCAUCACACGCUUCUUUGACUCCACUGCAUUAGAUGAGUUCUUGUAUUUUUGAACAGCUACACUCCGAAGUCGUUUGUGUCUACGCUUCAUGCGCUGCAACUUCACCCUAUCCAGAUUGGCCUGCCUUUUGUCAUCUUCAAUUUGGCCUUCAACAAAUUCCAAACGUGCCCUUGCCCUUUGGAUUUCAUCACCAAGUUGAAGAUGCCUCUCCUUCCAAAAAGCAACAACUCUUUCAGACUCAAAACUUCCAACAAAAUGGUCAUUCUGUCUAGGAAUGUGACAUUGCUUGUCUGGUGACUCACUUGCGUGUCGAAGGCGGUCUUUGUUUGGAGGGGUGUUUAUUAUGCUCACAUCAAACUUGGUUAGUAAAUCCAUUCUUUGGGGGGAAUGAGUUUGUUUGCUUGAGAGAGUAUCAGUAGAUGGAGACAGAUUCGGUGGAGGAGUGAGUUUUGUGUGGAAGGAGAAUUUAUAUGAAAGGGGUGAUAGUAAUACCAAGAAAAGGGUUCCCGCCAAAAAAUAUUUGGUUGAGAAUGUAUAAAUUAAUUUUUGGUCUGAUACAAUCUAAGUUGAAUCCUAACUAGUUUGGUUGAGUUAACUAAGUAGAUGUCACUUCCAUUGAGUUUCUUUCAACCACUAUCAGUGGUGUCAGGAGAGUGUGAGGUUGACAUGCUUGAAAAGCAAAACCUGACACCUAUUUUUAAAAAAUUCCAUAAAAAAAGUACAUAUGUUGACUACACACAAGCUUUGGUAUGUUGGUCUAUAAACCUAUGUUCCCUUUCUCAAACGAAAUUGCAUAUGCAAUCCUCAUCCUCCCAAAACAAAGAGGAUUAUUCAAGCAUGUCAACCUCUUCAGGCGCCAACAACACAAUCGAAGAUGACAAAUUGGAGUCGCAGGUUCUAUUUCCACAUUGUACUCGCCGACCCCUUCCUUUUUCAACAUCAUUUGGGAGUGAGGGGGACUCCGAUGAUCCAUUAGAGGCAAUACAUGCAGUCAGUGGCAAGCUGGAUUAUAAUUCCAGACUGAUCAAUUCAUGGCACGAGAAAUGUGUUGAAGACGAGGCAAUUUUGGCUGAUCUUAACAUUAGAGUGAACAAAGCGUUCUCCCAAAAGAACAAGUACUUGAAGCUGAGUCAUAGCAGGAAGCUGAAAGCUGAGGAGUUGGAUACAGUAAUGAAUGAUGAAAUGAAAGGUUGUUUGCUGAACCACAUGCGAUGCGAAGAGCACCAUAGUGAACUGGAGUUGGCAUUCAACGAAGGAUUCGACAAAUUUCGAGCAUUUGCGGCAACUACUCAUACAAGUUAUGAUUGGAACUAUGUGUCCCCUGAUGCUGUGAGAGAGAUACUAGACGAUGGGGGUGACAUGAAUGAGCAUAAGCACGUCAAAGCUGCUCGGAAGAAGCCGACCGAUACGACUAAGUGAUUGCGGCUACCGCUGUUCAGUUGGUUGAGGGUGACCGUGGUAUUGCACAUAUACUCCCUUAAUGUCAUUAUCUAAUUUCAAAUAACACAAAUAUCAGUUUCAUUUGCUUCAUAUAUAAUUAUUGGGACUAUGUAUUGCAAGUCAUCAUGUGUUAUAAUGUCUAACAUUAUAUUUUGCAAAUAUGGAAAUAUUAUUCAAUAAGCAGUCAAUAUCACAGCAAGCCGGGAAUCAGUAAAUGCUCCUUAUCAUGUCCAUUUACAUUAAAGAGCUGGCGUACUAAUGUGUUCAAAAAAAACUGAGACGUGAGUCAUAAGUAACAUAACAUGUGCUAUACAUUGUUUACUGAAUGGUUUAUGGUUUAUUUUUAUAUAAUAAAAUUCCAAAUAUUGCUGAAGAUUUAUUUCGUCUAUAUGACUAGGGAUAUGAGUGGCCAUAAGCAUGUGAGACCUGCUAAGAAGAAGCUGACGAGUACGACCGAGUGAUUGUGGCUACCGUUGUUCAGUUGGUUGGGGAGAUCGUGGUAUUGCUAAGAGGGAGCACAUAAUAUGUUUUGCAAUCAAAUGUUCUUUUGUGUGUGGAAUUAUGAGUAUUUAUGUAAGUUAGUGUACCCUUUAAUAUUUUUCACCUAAGUAUCGAAAUGUAAUUAGCUGCAAUGUUAUGUUUCAUUUUUACACGCUGCUUUCUAUUUGCUCUGUUCCAACAAAGUGCUUCAAGUAUCCUUCAGUUACAAAAGUGUACAAAAUCGUGCCCCUAAUAACCAGUCGUCAAAAGUGGCUACUGCUGGAAAUGAUUACUGGUAAUGGAAACAACAGCUGGCUGCUGGAAAUGCUGCAUUAGCCUGAGGAUUUGAAAAAUGAAUCUCUGUUAAAACAUAAUUCACCCUAAACUGCCCAUUUUACAUGGUAAAGGUCAUUGCUUCUUCACAUAACUACAAAUUUCAUACUUGAUCAAAUGUCUAUGAAAAUUUAUAAAUAGGGAGAAGACGUAAAAUUAACAUGUCUCCAAAUUUCAUGGAAGAAUGAAACCAAGGAAAUUUUCAUUUCAAUUACCAGUGGACAUAGUAAGAGCUCAUCGGUGGACAUGAACAAAAACACAAUAAUAUUCAAAAACUGAAUCUAUAAAACUUCACCUGAUCAUUAAUCUUCAUAACAACCACAUUUCGUCUAAUACAAAUAUAAAUCAUUUAGUUGGUCCGUGCAUCCUGUCAAAAUCGUCGAAUAAUGGGUCACUACGAUGUAUUGGAGUUGAUUCGUCAUUGUUCGACGGUGAUGUCCUGCAUAAACAUCAAACACAAGCACAUAAAAAUUUUACCUUUUCAUAUUUUAGAUGUUAUUACAACUAGUGUUAGCAUCUUACGGUGUGUUCAAGGCUGGGCAUUGUCUUCUAUCAUGACCAAUGUGUCCACACUCCCGACAGUGUCUAAUCCCUCGCUUCAUUGCCUUUUCCUUUGCUCCCGUUACUCCUUUCGACCUUCCUUUGCACCUCACUCUCUUAGGGUCUUUCAUAUAUUGUGUUUGAGAGCUGGACCCUCCAACUUCGUUAUUACUUAGUCCAUCCUUCAGCAACUUUAACUUCACCUGCAAACUUUUUAGAGUCUCUGACAGUAGCUCACAUCCUUCUUCACUCAUUAAUGCAUCCUCAACCACAUCUGAAGCAAGUCGAGACAUUGUACUCCGCUUUAUUAGAAGGCCAGGAUCUGCACAGUCUUUAAUUUCGUUGCCAUUUGCAUCUGACACCAUUCCAGAUUUCGCAGUUUUCUUCCACCUCUUCAAAAUAUAUUUAUCGGGCAUAUAUUCAAUCUGGUCCCUUCUGAACAAUGCUAGGAUGUGCUUGCAAAUAAUUCCAACAAAUUCAAAUCUUUUGCAGCUACACGAUGCGUGGUCAGAAUCUUUGACAUAUACGACUUCUGCCACUCUUGUUUCCCAAUUUUUCCUUUCGCUCACGUUAAAGACAACUUUACAAGCAUCCUCUGUUUUGAGCUCUAGGAAACAUGCUGUACUUUGUAUUAGUUCUUGCUCAAACUUUUGAAACAUUGUCCUUGUGUACAAGGUAGCCAUUUGUUUGUUCAUUGGCAUCGGUAGAAGACAUUGAGCCACUUCAAAUGCAUCUACGUGAUCAGCAACUAACUCUUUUUCACGUUGAUGAGAAAGUGCCCUCUCAAAUCGUAUUAUGAAAUCCAUCAACGAAUUUCUCCUUGAUAUGUAUUGCUUGAAAAAACCAUGAGAACCUUCCGCUCUUUGGCUGCUUGACAUUCCAGCGGCAAAAAAUUGUCGUGCGUAGGCUGGAACCCAAGAUUCCCUUAAAUCAAACAUUGAACUUAGCCAUGGAUGGUCGGUCAAACCAGCCUUUGUAACCACAAUAUUCCAUUUUGCAUCAAACUCAUCCUUAUUGUCAGUAUCCCAUAUGGCUUUCUGAAAUUCACGCCAAUACUCCUUAUAAGCGUCACGUGGUAACUUAACAGAGAACUUUGAUGUGAUGUGCCAUAUGCAAAGUCGAUGAAAUGUACUCGGGAAGGCUAUUGAAAUCGCUAUGGCCAUUGCCGCAUCUUGAUCUGUAAUGAUCGUUUUAGGUUCCCCACCUGGCAUGGCUUUCUUAAACUCCUCAAACAUCCAAACAAACGACUCAGUCGUUUCCUUGCUCAAAAAUGCACAUGCUAAGACAAUUGUUUGACCAUGGUUAUUAACUCCCAACAUUGGUGCAAAUGUCAAGUCGUAUCGAUUCGUGUUGAAUGUGGUAUCGAAUACAACAACAUCUCCAUAAAACCCAUACGCCCGUCUAGAAGUUGCAUCUGCCCAAAAACAUCGACUAAACCUGUCAUGCCCAUCUCCCUCAAUCUUGAAAUAAAAAGCCUCAUUUUUUUUCUGUUCAGCCAUAAAAUACUCGGUCACUAGUUCAACAUCGUGGUUCCUCAGCUUCCCAUUCACACUACAUUCAAGAUUGUAGAUAUCUUUUUUGAUAAAACCGAUUUUAUCCAUUCCUCCGGAUUGCACCUUGAAAAUACUUACCUUAUGAUGAAUGGGAAUAUUAACUGAACCCAACUGUUUUGUGAGUACUUUGUAGAAUCUGAAAUAUGACGGUGUGAUCUCAAUAAAUGCAUUCUUUCUGAGGGUGUCAUCUUAUGAUUGUGUCCCUCUGCAAAAAGAGAUAUGGUAUACUUCUUGCUCCCAUUUGUCUUCACAACCACAAUCUUAGCUUUGCAAUUGCAUCUACUUAUUCCCCGUUGUCUUUUUCUCUCCCGAGUUUCAUCCUUCCUGUAUGCACCUUGUUUGCAACAUACAAAUUCUUUCCUCAAAAUCUCUUUCUUAUUUUUCCCCCAAAAGCUAGAAUGAAGUCGAAUACCAAAGCCAGCAAAGAAUGCAUAUCUAUUAUAGAAAUUGUAAACGAGGUCAAGCGAGUCAAACUUCAUCCCAACUGCUGGUGUUUCCUCAUUUCUUACUUCAGGAAUAUAAACCCUCCCAUUAGCUGUUGCACAUUCAUCACUCUCUGAGCCCCCAGACAUUUUAUCUACGUAUAUUAUUGAUCCACUUCUAUAUUACUGCAUAGCAAUUAUUCAUUCAUUAAUCAGUCAUUACUGCAUCACAACAUAUCAAUGCAUUCCACUUACACAAAACAUUGCCCAAAUUGACACAAAAUACGCAUAGCCUAACUUCCGAUUACACAAAACGCAAGCAAAAUUUCAUAAAAGUUACGUCAUCUCUUGUGAAAUAAUCUGGUCAAAAUAACAUUAGAACCAACAUGUUCAACUAAGAACACAAAUGUAAUUCAAACCACCAAUUACAGAACUUCACCCAAUAUCCUCUCCAACUGCUUACUCCUAAUGUCAUUAAGCCUAAGUUUAGGUUCUUUUACCUACAUUUCAUAAUUUUCCACCCCGACCAACAACAAUGAACUAAGAAUAUUGAAUAUUCAUAAGGAAAUGACACAUUAUUGAUGCCACAAAUGACGAAUUUCCCACCCUCACAAAAGAUAAACCUAACCCAAUAAAAUCAAUCCAGCAAGUGAACUUACCUCUCAAAAUCAAUCGGGAGCUCUGAAGUCAGUCAGCUUGAAAGAAUGUGGUGGACAUUACAGAAGACUCUUUGGUAUUUGAGACUCCAUCUCUACCAAAAUCGAGGAACAACUGCUGCUGCGGCUUCUAGCUACAAAAACAGAUAUGCUACUUUGCUUUCAUCUGGAAUCUUGUCAGCUGAAUGAAAAAGAGAAGGGGUUUUCACUUGAGCCAUAGAAUCAAAACAGGGCAACAGCUAGGUAAGAGCCAUUCUUCGUAAUACCCAGGAUACCAUAGAUCGCAGGCCUCCCAACGAGCUAAUGACAGUCGAGUGACUAUAAGGUUUGGGAGAUUUGGAUCCUUCUAAUUGUGGGUUUGCUUUACAUUCAAAAAGAAAGGAUUGUGUUCUUCAGUUUUUCACAGAGAGGGAAAGAGGGGAACAACUGAAGUUGGGUUUCUAACGGGUUAGAUUUCAACCCGAUUCUACAUGCACCCUCUUUUAAAAACUCACCGUUGGAUGAAAUCCAACGGCUCUUACAUGCCCCUCAAAAACACCCCUUAUAACUUCCCACUCACUAUAGAAGCUCCCCUGUUUGUGUUGUUGAAUUGGGUCUUUUAGUUGUUUUUGUAAACUCUGAUUUAAGUCUAGUUUGGUAUUGCUGUACUUUUAAAAAAAACUACUUCCGCUGUGCUGCUAGAAUACUCAGCUGUAAAAAAAAUUAGUUAUGCUUUUGGUAAACUAUAUUUGAAAAAGUGCUGUGAGUAAUCCAAAUGUUUGGUAAAUGACCAAAAAAAAGUGCUUUUAAUACGUACAAUGACUAAAAAGGACAUGAUGAUGGAACUAUUUGAUUUUUUCUUCAUUCUUUUUCUACUUAAAAAAAACUUCACUACAUAAUUUUUUUUUCUUUUUUUAUUUAUACUAUACACGUGUUCCUCUCUUCUCAAAAAAGUAAAUGCCUUUUGUUAUGUAUUGAAUGCUAACCCAACGACACCAAUUGGAAACCCAACACAGCCCAUCUCUCCACUUCAAUUUUUCUCUUUCUACCAUUUACAAGUUUUUUUUCUUCAUUCCUUCGUCUAACCAAAAAUAUCUCAUGUUUCCCCCAAUUAGUUUUAGUACUUUUGGGUAGGUGAGACUGAAAAGGGGAAAAAUUGUAUGUUGGGUUUAUGUUUUGGUGUUCUUGCAAUGGGAGAUAACAUAGUGGAGAAAGUAGCCAUGGUGAAAAUACAGAUUUCUGGGUUGCAGCCAUGGAGAUUUGAGCUGAUUUACAGUGCUGUAGUGGGGGUAGUUGAAGCCCCCCCAAAGUUGGGACUACUGCAACAGGAUCUUUCCACCCAAAACCAAAAACAAGAACAACAAACUCAGGUGGAACAUGAAACUCAUCACUCUCUCUCUUCCUUCGACUCGGGUUUUCUCUCUUCUUCCUCAAACCUGCGACAAAUAGAAAAACCCCCAAUUUAACAGAGAAAACUCUAGAUGCAGAAAGUUUGAGAAGUAGAAAACCAAAAAACCAUAAUUGUAAUUAAGUUAUUGAUGAAUGGGCAACCUUCUUAGCAAUUAAUUUUUUGAUGUCCACAAUGAGAGUUCCAGCAGCGUCAGAGAGUAGAGAAGGAAAUGAAGGAAAUAGAGUUCACAGAAUGGAGAAGAAAAAAGGGGCAAAAGACCGUCAAUUUGUAAAAUAAGUGAGGGUAUUACGGGAAAGUUAAAAGUUCAUUAAAACAACCGGUUAAAUUUUUUUUGAAGCAGCUUUUAAAAGCUUGGUAGAGACGGCUUCGAAAAAACAGCGAUCAUUGACUGCGAUUUUAAAAAAAAGCAGGAUUCCUGAUGUUUUCCAAACACCCAACUCAUGAAAUUUUUUUAUUAAAGCUGCUUUUUAAGAAAAUUAAACGCUGCCAAACACCACCUUAACCAUUUUCUUUGCGUGUGCCAAAUUUAUAAUUUUGACCAGUGUCAUGCAGGAAAAUGUUUCAUGCUUUGUUAACAGGGGGCUUUCGAUGAGUAUUUUAUUUAGAUGAAAAGUGAUUCAUUCCUUUCCUUUAUGGAUUCAUCUUGUUAGGUUGAUCUAUUGAAGAAUGAGCUUGGAUUUGAUGAGGCUUUUAACUAUAAAGAAGAGGCUGACUUGAAUGCGGCUUUCAAAAGGUGCAUAUGAGUAAUGAUAGAGAGAUUACAUUUAUAAACCCUAGCGGACCAUGAAUAUAAUGAGUCUUAAAUCUAUUAGACAAUUGGUUAGUUGACAGGUGGUAUACAAAGCAGUCUACAAAUGUGAUCUCCCUAUCAUUUUCCGUAAAAUACAUAUUUAUUAUGUUAUACUAGUUUCCUUUAGUAAGAAAAGAAAGGAAAAAAACUAUUAUUAAGAAUUUGUGUGUUGUUAGGGUUCAUCAUUGGGCUGGGCCAACUCAAAAAUUUUGGGUUCGAGCCGAGCCCUCAUGGGCCGAAAUGGGCCAGACUUUUUGUUAAAAAGUCUUUUCAAUCUUUUUGUUACACAUUUCGUUUUUUCAAAAGUGAUGGAUAUAGAGUAUUCUCUUAAACAAUAGUAUAGAUUACUACAUAAUUUAAGAAAACAAAAAUAUAAUAGCCAAACUUUUUUACUAAACCUAGACCAAUAACCAAUAUAUUUAAAAAAUAUUAUACCUAAAAAUGAAUCUUAUGAUGUGCAAUUUGUGCCUUAAUUAACUUAUAUCCCAAAUUAGGAUUGACAUCAUGAAAAUUAAAGCAAUUUGUGCCUUUAAAAUUAAUAAACCCAGAAUAAGCUUUCAAAUUCUUUAUUGAACCGUUAAAUUUGAACUUGACAAAAAAGGGGCACUAAGAGAUAUAGUGCAUAUAUUGCUUGUUUGUUACAAAAUUUUAGACAACAUUGAAAAAAUUAACUUAAUUUAUAACAUGUGUAAACAAAAUAAAAAGUUUAUUAGUUUAUCAUACAUAUUACAUUAUUUUGAUUAAGUAUAAAAUGAGGUUAGGGAAUGCAUCAAUUAAUCUUAAAAAAAUGAAAAGCAUAAGCGGGCGGGCCGAGCGGGCCUAACCAUCUUGCUAGGCUGGACUUUGACCCAUCAAGCCUCGGACUACCCACUUCGGAGCCGCGGGCCAAAUGAUGAUCCCUAUAUGUUGUAUAUGAUGCUUUGAAGCUUGAGCUUUCUUGAGUGAAGGAUAAAUUUUCUUUGUAAUUACCAUACACUUGCCAGGUAUUUCCCUGAAGGCAUUGAUAUUUACUUUGAGAAUGUUGGAGGCAAAACGCUAGACGCAGUGCUCCUCAACAUGAGAGUCCAUGGCCGCAUUGCUGUAUGUGGAAUGAUCUCACAGUACAAUCUUGAUCAAGCAGAAGGGGUAACAAAUUUGAUGCACCUUGUGUAAAAACGUAUCCGCCUCCAUGGAUUUUCGGUAAGAGAUCACUAUCACAUCCAUCCGAAAUUCGUGGAGUUUAUGCUGCCUUACAUUAGGCAAGGAAAGAUUGUUUAUGUGGAAGACAUAGUUGAAGGCCUUGAGAGUGGUCCAAGAGCGCUGGUUGGACUUUUUAAGGGUCUUAACUUUGGAAAACAAGUAGUUGACGUCUCUGCAUGAAUAAGUUGUUUUGUCAAUCGAUUUGGUGUGCUUGUGUUUCUAACCACUAUAACUUUGUUAAGUGGCUCUUUGGUUUUAUUUUUAUGUUUUUGGAUCCUUUUUGGGAUUGCAUAUGUUAAGUGGUGCACUUUGUCAUACAGAAGAUAUUCAUCAAUAAUAAGGGCUAAUUCAGGAUUGUUGUCACUUUUAAAAAAAGAUGCUUCUGUUGUGUUUUGGAAAUAAUAAGCUGUAAAGUAGUUCCAUGCGUGUUAAACAAUAUUUUUAAAGUGUUGUUAGUAUAAAAAGUUAUGUCAAAACCGUUUGGUAAAUUUUGAUAUAAAACUAGUAACUGUUGAUAAUGACUAAAACAUACAUGAUAUGUCGAAAGUGUUACGUGGUAACCAUAUGGUGGUGGUGGCGGUGGUGGUAUAGGUGGAGGUUGAGUUGGUGGUGGUGGUGGAGGUGGAGGUGGUGGUGAGGCGUGCUACGGGCACCAACUUAAAUACUAAUUUAAUGAUACCAACCUAUGUGGCAUAUGACAUGACAAUUUAUGUCAUAUGCCACAUCAUUUUUUUUAUUAGUUAAGUUUUAACAAUUUUUUGUCAGAAUUAACUUAAUUAUUUAGUUUUAAAUAAAUAAAUUCUGCUCCACGCCUCCCUUCCUUCUCGGAUCUACUACCAUGGCCUCCUUCCUCCCCAACUUGUAUGCCCUUAUUAUUACGCACAUUGAAUUUGGCUUUCGGGGUGUGACAUAUUUUUACCAAUCCCAUGAAGCUUUUCUUAUCUUUGAAUGCUUGAGUGCUAACCAUUGUGUGUUUCCCUUGCUUUAGGAAGAUUGCCUCACUCAGCAAGAAUGCAUGGUGAGGUGUUUGUGAAUGGUGCAAAAUCGGUACAUGUACAUGGCCACGACACCGAUAUAUAAAUGAGAAGAGAAUUCCUUGGUCAGUAUCAAUAUUGCGAAACUGUUGCAGCAUUGAAGGGUUGUGUGAACUCCUCGAUUUCAAGCGAAGUCGAAUAUUGCUUGAUGUGGAAGAUGGCUCAAACUAAUAAAAAUGAGGAAAACGGAUCAUACCAACAAAAAUAUGGCAGAUGGCCAGAAUCAAUAUAACCGUGGUCAGAUUUGGGAAGUGAGGCCAUGGCAGAUUCGGAGAGGGAGGGAGGCCAUGGCAGAUCUAUAAAGGAAUGGAGAAACAGAUCACACCUCUUCCCUUCUCCUCAUACCACAACUCAUCAUACACACCCAAUCGAUUUUGAAAUAUUACAUAAAAGUUGUGAUGGCGCUGGAACUGCAGAUUCAGAACGUUUUUUAUAUGCUUCCCACAAGCAGUCAGACAAACCCUUAGAGGACGAGUGACAUCAUUACCUUCUCAACUUACCAAAGAAAGAACUCCUUCCGAAGUGGUAACCACUUGCCGAUGCUCCCAACUACAGAACCAAGUUUCCAUGGACACGUGUCACCUCCACAAUAGUUUGCACAAAGUCCGACAUUGAAACUUUGUGCAAAACUCCCAUUUUCAGGGAACAGUACCUAAGGAAAAGGGGUAACUACUUUUCACAUUUACUGUUACUCUGCCAAAAUUACCACAUAUACUCGCUGACUUAAGUAUUGGAGAGUCUUCGGCAGGUACCACACCAGUGUCCGAAGCUUGACGAUCCCUUCUUCCUUGUUUUCUUAUGCAAGAUCCCUCCAUACCGAAGGUCCACAACCUUCUCCCUUGCUGAAGAUUUAACACUCCUUUAUCUAAGUUAACCCUCCGAAAAAGAGCAUCAACACGCGCAGCACUCAUUAUCUUUCAACAAUCUGAUUAUCUUAUACUAGUUAAUUUAUGGGUUGUUUGAUAACAAUUUCAAUUUUAAUUUUUAGUUUUCAUUUUCAUUUUUUUUGAAAACUGAAAACAUGUUUGGUAUUAGAUUUCGUUUUCAAAUUAAAAAAAAAGUGAAAUCUAGUUUUCAAAAUCACCUUUUUUUUAAAAAACAACUUGGAAGUGUUUUAUGUUUUUUUUUUAUGUUUUUUUUUUUUUUUUUUUUUUUUUUGUGCACUAUUGUUUGUUGGAGUGUUAGUUGACUUUCUUUGCACACCAAGGUUUCCCAUAUUAACUCAUGCAUAGAUUGGAAUUGAUUUCCUACUCUAAAUAGUAUUAGAAGUUAUUAAUUACCUUACUUAGCCUUCAAGGAAUAUUGUAUUAUAAAUAUGGCCUUCUACAAGGAGAAGAAUACACAGAAAAUUCUCACCACAAUUACUCUUUCGUAAUUUUAGCAUUAUUUCAUUCAUAAGUUUCACAUCACCACACAUGAAAUGCACUCCGGUUACCAAAAGUCGGUAUUUGGGACCUCCCAACUUGGACUUGGUCGCUCAAUUCGUGCUUUUGGCCACAAUCCCAAUCCAAACCUCGUCAACUCCAUGUCCAAAGGUCACUAAAAAAUAAUCAUAAUUUUAAAAAAUUCACCAAAAAAUAUUACGAAUUUUUUGUCAUUCCUGCUUUAACUUUACCUUUUGUUUUCAAAUGUUGACCCGUCCCAACCCAACUCUCAAUGCUCGAAGGGUUCUUUCGUGUAGUUAAGAGUUGGGUUUUCCAAGGUAGGUCUAUAUUGAUUCGAACAACUUUGCGGUAUAUCUGUGGGUAAGAUACUGUUCUCAAAGUAGUAAAGGCUGAACUAAAAGGCUAAAUGGGAAAAUGAAUACUUUCUUUUCUCUUCCUCAAGAAACAUACAUCCUCACCACAAGAGAGGGAGAGUUGCUUGGUAUUUUGUUAAAUAAAAUAAAAUAAUUAAUAAUUGAAAAUAGAAAAUGUUUGAAAAGGAUAUUGGGAAUAAAGAGAGAAGAUGCGGGUGUGAGUAAAAUAACAAUAAAAGAAAAUUAAAUCAAAAAUAAAAAAAUAAAAAAAUAAUUAAGUUUUGGGGAGUAGAAAUCGGGAUGGAGGGGGGAGAGAGAGGUUUUUUUUUAAAAAUUUUUUAUUCGUAUUUUAAUCAAUUUUGAUAUUGUUGAGGCCCAAAAAAGUUACGGGAAGCCCAAAGACAUUUAAAGCCCAAUAUAACAUAUAUUCUCAGUCAUGCGUUAAUCCAAGCUGUAAUUCGGAUUUAAUUCAUUAAAUAAAUAUAAAAUAGUGUACAUGUCAUGCUAAACUAAUAAUACAUUUUCCCCAUGCUAAUCACCUAUCAAGCUCACAUGAACCCAAGUCAUGUGAUUUACGGGCUUGCAUGAGGGAUUGUGGUGUGGAAGGUUACGGAGGUCCACAAGGCCCACGGAAGCUCUUGGAUAACAGAGACUUUGGGCUAGCUACUUGAGAGCACCAAAGUCCAAGCCCAUUACUUAGAGUUCUCCAAUGUGGGUGAGCAAAUGAGACAUUUUUCAAGCACUGCCUUUUACCUAUAGGAAAUAGUCAUUUUCCAAAUACCAAGCUUUACCCGUUGGAAACAAGCAUUUUCCAGCACUUCCUAUUACCCAUUGGAAACAAGCAGUUUCCAGUGCUUCCUUUUACCAAUAGGAAAAAAUCUGUUUAUGAUACCUAGCUUUACCUAUUGGAAAAUAGCAUGUCCUAGUCCUCCCUUUUAACCAUUAGAAAUAGGUUGGUUCCAAUACCUCCCUUUACCUAUUGGAAAUAAAGGAAAACCCUCACCCUCUAUAAAUUGGCACUCAUGGCUCAAGCAAAAGGCACCAAUUUUUCUUCAGCCAAUACUUCCUCACUCGGCUACUGCAAGCAUCCCAGCAGCCACCAACCCCCAUAAAGCAUCACCUAGCUCCAAGCUUUUCCUUCCUUCCAAGCUUUAAACACCAUAGCCUUUAAACCUCAAGCUUUUCCUUCCAUCCUCCUUCUCUUGAAACUCUUAAAUCCCCAUAGCCAUAGCCACACACAACAAAUUAUCAACACCAAACUCAAACAUAUCCAACACCAAGCCAAGCACAUGCAUUCUCAUUUGCUAAACUUGUGGGUCUUUAGCUCCUACACUCCAAGCUCUCAUGCUAAGCUCACAUAAUCUCAUACCAACAUCAGCAAGUCAUCUUCAACUCUUCGUCGAGCUGCCGAAAACAUCAACACAAAACAUGCAGCCGUUGGAAGAAGAACAAAGUACUCUCCCGGGACUUGCUUUUCCCUUGGGACACUUUGGGCCUAGUUCUCGCUAACUCAGAUAAAGGAACAACGAAGUCUUCAUUCAUCACUCUAUGGCGACCCAAGAAUCAACAAAGCCCGGAUGAGCCUUCGAACGAAAGUGACCACAUGCAAAGCUCAAGCUUCAAUAGCCAAGCCCAAGCUUUUGGUUCCUAAAAACAUGCUUACGACAGCUGCAACAAACAAUACCUAAGUCACCAUAAGUGAUAUGCCCCAGCGUCUCAAGCACUUUCUAUGCCCUGACAAUUCUAAUGAUCAAGUUUUAGAGUCAAACCAAAAGGCCAUUGGGAUGUCUCAAUUGCCACAAUUCCAUAAUCAAUCAUCAUCAAGCCUCAAGCCUUAUUCAAGAAAUCCAAGCACUAUUCUUUACUCAAGAAGGAAAACAUCUCAGUUCGUGGCAAAUAGAAGGAAAAUACUACGAAGGUACCGGAAGAACCUAAACACUGUCAAGAUGAAGUUUCCUUUACCAAGCAAUCAAAAUUUUUGAAGUGAUGUCAAGCUAUCAAGAAAAAGAGUAAAGUCACUAUGCAACACAACAACCAAAAUAUGCUUGUAGUAACCAAGAUUCAAGCCAAGCAAAAUGUGGAAGAUAAUGAUGCGUUGUAUGAAAUGCUCCUGGAAGAUAACACAAGCCCUAUAGUCAUGCUGCCGGAAGAGUGAACCAUCAUGCCACUAAAUUUGAAAGAGGAGCCCCAUAUCUGAGUACUGGAAGGCAGCGCAGUGGACUCCAAAACUAAGAUCUAGUCCAAGUGACUUAAGGCCUCCAUAUUGCAAUGCUUAUUUGCCAACACCUAUACCGCUUUCAAGCUACUGCAGACACUAUCAUGCUCAAAUCCUUAAGCAUCUCCCAUUGUAUUUUCAUCUUCUAAUCUACCAAAGCCCUCAUGAUUGACCAAGCUAUAUCUUGAUUCAACUCCACCCACUUGCUCUUUACAGCAGCCCAGGCCCAUCUGUAGCUGCCGGAACAAAAAAGCCCCAACGUAAAUGACAAAACCGAAACACUAAAGCACAUCCACCAUGCUAAAUAGCCCAAAAGCUAUAUUAAACCACGACACUUUAGCCAAUACCAAGCGUACAAGCCAAUGCCCAGCAUCCAAGCAUACAAGCCAAAGCUUAGCGUACAAGCCAAUACUAAGCAUACAUGCCAAUGCCAAGCAUACACACCAAUGCCAAGCAUCCAAGCCAAUACCAAGCGUACAAGACAAAGCCAAGCAUACAAGUCAAUACCAAGCAUACAUGCCAAUGCUACGCGUAUACGCCAAUGCCAAGCAUCUAAGCCAAUACCAAGCAUACAAGCCAAAGCCAAGCGUACAAGCCAAUACCAAGCAUAUAUGAGCCCAAGAUCAAGCGUACAUGCCAAUGCCAAGCAUCCAAAUCAAAUACUAAGAAUACAUGUCAACAUCAAGCAUACAUGCCAACACCAAAUAUACACGUAAAAACCAAGGAAGCAAGCACGGAUGUUUCAUGCAUAUUGAAGAACCAGCCAUGUCAUGCCACUGCCAAUUAUUUUGGGCUGAAAUAGAUUAUUGGGCCCAUCUCACUGCCACUUCAUAGCCCCAAUAAUCAAGGGGGCUAAUGUUGAGGCCCAAAAAAGUUACGGGAAGCUCAAAGACAUUCAAAGCCUAAUAUAACCUAUAAUGUCACUCAUGCGUUAAUCCAAGCUGUAAUUUGGAUUUAAUUCAUUAAAUAAAUAUAGAAAUAGUGUACAUGCCAUACCAAAAUAAUAAUACAUUUUUUCCAUGCCAAUCACCUAUCAAGCUCACAUGAACCCAAGUCAUGUGGUUUAUGGGGCUUGCAAGAGGGAUUGUGGUGUGGAAGGUUACGGAGGUCCACAAGGUUCAUGGAAGCUCUUGAAUAAUGGAGACUUUGGGCUAGCUACUUGGGAGCACCAAAGUCCAAGCCCAUUACUUAGAGUUCUCUAAUGUGGGUGAGCAAAUGAGACAUUUUUUAAGCACUUCCUUUUAUCCAUAGGAAAUAGUCAUUUUCCAAAUAUCUAGCUUUACCCGUUGGAAACAAGCCUUUUCCAGCACUUCCUAUUACCCACUGGAAAUAAGCAGUUUCUAUUACUUCCUUUUACCAAUAGGAAAUAAUCUGUUUAUGGUACUAGCUUUACCUGCUGGAAAAUAGUAUGCCCUAGUGCUCCCUUUUAACCAUUAGAAAUAGGUUGGUUCCAGUACCUCCCUUUACCUAUUGGAAAUAAAGGAAAACCCUCACUCUCUAUAAAUUGGCACUCAUGGCUCAAGUAAAAGGCACCAAUUUUUCUUCAGCCAACACUCCCUAACUCAGCUGCUGCAAGCAUCCCAGCAGCCACCAACCCCCAUAAAGCAUCACCUAGCUCCAAGCUUUUCCUUCCUUCCAAGCUUUAAACACCAUAGCCUUCAAACCUCAAGCUUUUCCUUCCAUCAUCUUUCUCUUGAAACUCUUAAAUCCCCAUAGCCAUAGCCACACACAACAAAUUAUCAACACCAAACUCAAACAUAUCCAACACCAAGCCAAGCACAUGCAUUCUCAUUUGCUAAACUUGUGGGUCUUUAGCUCCCACACUCCAAGCUCUCAUGCCAAGCUCAUAUAAUCUCAUACCAACAUCAGCAAGUCAUCUUCAACUCUUCGUCGAGCUGCCGAAAACAUCAACGCAAAACACGCAGCCGAUGGAAGAAGAACAAAGUACUCUCCCGAGACUUGCUUCUCCCUCGGGAUACUUUGGGCCUAGUUCUCGCUAACUCAGACAAAGGGGCAACGAAGUCUUCAUUCAUCACUCUAUGGCGAUCCAAGAAUCAACAAAGCCCGGAUGAGCCUUCGGACGAAAAAGACCCCAACAGAUAUAAAAAUACCAUUUUUCCCCUGCAGUUAACAGAAAAGUUAACAGCCGGACCAUUUGUCCUAACGAAACUGAAGUUGAAGAACUACGGGAACCAUUUUGAAAAUUGAGGUACUCAAAUACAAAUCGGGUCUAAGUUCAGGGAUUAAUAAAACAAUUAACCCCUGAGUUUAUAAUGCUCGAGAGUAUAUAGGAAGAGGACACUCCAACUGGCAGCUAUGGAGGAGGCCAAGACUAGUAGUGUCUAUUCUGUGAAAGCUAACUUUGCUUUCUUAUUAUCCACAACUUAGAUAUAUCAAUGGCUUCUUGCAAGAACCUCAAUUCUUUAUGAACUUUCUGCCCUAAAAUGCUUUAUCUAAUAGCUCAGACAAUGGUGAAAGAAAAAAAAUUGUUGUUGGAAUCUUAGCAUAAUAAUAUUUUCCAGCCAAAAUCAGUUGUUAGAUUCUCCAACAGCACAAUCUCUUUUCGCAAUCACAUACUAGUCAAUCCUACAGAGCAUAAGAUCCUACUUUGAGGGGUGGAAAGGAAUGAAUUCAACUCACCACUAUUAUGACCAAGGCAAUAAUUUUCAUUUCCAUCACAUGAUUCUAGGUGACCCACAACUCCAUACCACCAACCUGCAAUAUAUACAGAAAAUCCUAUCAAGCAAUGGACAAUGGGAAAUUAAUUAAUUUCACCUUUUAUUUAAGUUUCUGCAUAUUAAACGAAUCUACUUUCAUUAUAUAUUUAAGGGAAAUGUAAGCCUUUUUUUUCGUUCUUUACCCUUUUUUUUCCUCACCUUAAUGGGGCUUGAGGAUGUUUGAAUUGUUCGCUAGAACUACUUUCAUUAUCUAUUUGAGGCAUACUUCAUGAACCACAUGGAUUCUAGGAAGUGAUAUAGACCUUUGUUUCUUUCAUUUGAGCCCUUCUAGCCAACCCGUAUCACUUUUAUCCCUUGUUAAUCACCUUGUGCCUUUUAUGUAAGCCUUUUUUUUCGUUCUUUACCCUUUUUUCCUCACCUUAAUCUAUCAUAUGUUACCCUUCUAAGGAGUUUUGUACAGUAUUUUCGUUGUUAAGGGAGAAUUGCACAACAAUCAUGUGGAAAGUAAAGGAUACUAUUUCCAAAAAAAAAACCUAAUUUCAAACCCUUUUCAACUCGAGUUAUUGAGCCCUAUGAGUGUUUUACAUUUAAUUUCGUAAAGCUAUGUAGCUUGGGAGUCAUUGGCCUAACACUCGCUGCAUGGGUUGAUUAGAAAGCUAAUGAAGAGUUAGAAAAAAAAAUUGUGAAAAAUAAAUAAAUUUCAAGACAGUAUCAAUAUGAAGUUGCGUGCUCAAAGUGCAAGAUGUUAUAAUUUUCAUGGAAAGCUCUAUGAAUUCCUUAGAAUUUGUUCAUCCAUAUCUUUUUCUUGUUUCACCCGUCACUCUAAGCCCCAUUACAACCUUAUUUGAAGACUAUUCUGCUAUUUUCUCAAGGCGUGCAAUAUAUGACUGGAAAGAUAAGAUAAAGACCUACAAUUUACAUAUUUUUUCAGAAUUUUCUCGGAGGAGGAAUGAUUCCAAACGUGGGUGCAAAGUAACUAACGUGUUAUCCUAGUCCAAGUAGGAAGAUGAGUCAAUUACUUACCCAUUUUGGAUUUAAGUUUUAAUUAGCUGUUUCUUUAUUUUUGGGCUGUUGUAAAAGGCCAGCUAAGGUAGGAAUAGACGUGUGGCAUUUUAUUUAAGCAUGAGACAACUCCUUUGGGAAGACGCAAAGACUAGGAGAAAUUGGAGACGCCGGAAGAGUACCACAAUUGGCUAAGUUUUAUUGUUUCUUCCUUAUGUUUUUGUUUAUGUCAAAUUCUAUGAUUAUGUGUAACUAAUUUUAUUUUGCUAGGGCAUGAUGUAUGCCUAGUAUGAUAAUCUAGUUUUCUUAUUUUACCUAUCUAUUGAUUGCAGUUUGAUGUUAGAUUCUUAAUCACUGUGCUUAGUACCUUAGUUGAUUACCUUGAUGCUUGAUCACCAUCUAGACUUUUAAUUGAGUUAAUCGGAUGCGAAUUAGAGUAAAUACCAUACUUAAUUUGAGGUUUGCUUCUUGUGAUUAGAAUUUGUAAUUUGUCUAAAGUAAAUACCAUACUCCUAGAAUUUACAUGCUUGUUGGAGGUUUUCACUGAUUUCAAUAUUUUCCCGACAUGUGAUGCCAACAACAUAGAUGUUUCAAUGUUUCACUAUGGAAGCAAUCACGUAAGGAUUAACAUGGCAGGACAUCAGACAUGAGAAACUAAGAAGAGAGAGAGAGAGAGAGAGAGAGACUUGCCAUUCAAGCAAGAGAAGGCCAUAACACUAUAUAGCAAUAGCACCGUAAAAUAAGAUGCAAAGAAUGAGGGGGUCAUGUUUUCAAGUACCAAAACACGCAAGGGCAUUUUGGUAAAGUACAUCUGAAAAUAAAUCAAGGCAAGCAAAGCCGUAGAUAUCCUCUUCCUGCUACACAUAGUAUUAGCCUACGUAAGGUCAUUACGGCGCCGUUUCCCUUUUUAAUUGGCGUAGUUCAACUCAUCAUCCACCCAAGUUCAUUUCGUUCAAAGCUAUAAAUAACCCCUCAAACCAUUCAACUUUCCCACCACCACUCCUCACUCCUUCAACUCAUUAACCUCUCUCUCUCUCUCUCUCUCUCUCUCUCUCUCUCUCAUCCGCAAAUGGCGAACCGUAGAAGCCUCUUUUCUCUCUCACUUAUCUUUGUGUUCAUGAUCAACUCAGCCAUAGCCACUCCAGUCACAUACAAUGUGGCCAGUUUAGGAGCCAAAGCAGAUGGCAAGACUGACUCCACAAAAGCCUUCCUCUCUGCAUGGGCUAAAGCUUGUGCCUCGAUGAAUCCCGGUGUCAUUUAUGUGCCGGCAGGAACGUUCUUUCUUCGCGAUGUGGUGUUCAGUGGGCCUUGCAAGAACAAUGCCAUCACCUUCCGCAUUGCCGGAACCCUUGUGGCCCCGUCGGAUUACCGGGUCAUCGGUAAUGCAGCUAACUGGAUUUUCUUUCACCAUGUAAACGGGGUUACCAUAUCAGGUGGAAUUCUUGACGGCCAAGGCACGGCCUUGUGGGCUUGCAAGGCCUCUCAUGGCGAGAGUUGUCCCAGCGGAGCAACGGUAAUUAAUUCACUACUUUAAAUAUCAUAUUCAUGACACCAUUAAAUAUCAAAUUCAUGACACCAUUAUUUUGUGCUUCAUUAUUAGUGAGAAUUUUAAAGGUCAACGUACGUACAAUUUGCUUUAUUAUUUGCUACCAAUUGAAUUGAGGGUUUAUAAAAUAAGUUCAAACUCCACAGAACGUAAUCAAAUGGACAUGAUAAAUUGUACCACAAGUUUAGCUUGAUCAAGUAAUUUCGUAAUAUGUGCAGACUUUGGGUUUUUCCGACUCAAACAACAUCGUGGUGAGUGGAUUGGCAUCCCUAAACAGCCAAAUGUUCCAUAUAGUCAUCAACGACUGCCAAAAUGUGCAAAUGCAAGGUGUCAGGGUUUCUGCUUCCGGUAAUAGCCCUAACACCGAUGGCAUUCAUGUCCAAAUGUCAUCUGGUGUCACAAUCCUCAACUCCAAGAUUGCAACCGGUGACGAUUGUGUCUCAAUUGGCCCCGGAACCUCAAAUUUGUGGAUAGAAGGCGUUGCUUGUGGACCUGGCCAUGGAAUUAGGUACGACAUCAAAAUUAUAUAUUUAUCCAUGAUUGAUUAAACUAGCUAAAUGCAUACUAUUUCAUAAUAUAUGUUAUAAUGUAUAUCUUUUUUCUUCAUUGCUUAAUGACAUUUGAACUUAGGACAUCUUUCAAUAAAGUGGAGAUUAAUUGAUUGCUAGUAGAGAUUCAUUGCCUACAAAAAGUAUAUCUUUCUUUUGGGUGGAUGUUCUAGUUGUAAAUUUAACAUUGCUUUACUUGAUGGUU
rnacentral:lncRNA from 1 species